GGUGGAAUGUGUCGAUUCUCAGACGGUGGCGGCGGCAUUGGCGGAGACGCACUGGCCAAAUCUUCAUUAAGCUCCGAAUUUCUAAUUCGGCUAGUACCUUCAUCCCCUUUACUUUCAUUACUCCUCCUCCUCCUCAACGCACCCACAGAGCCUUCGUUAUCAUUUUCUUCCUCCUCCUCAAUAAUGGGCGACCCAGGUUUGAGAUCGGGUUUGUAUAUAUUCAUCUGGGGCAUGGUGGCA
rnacentral:misc_RNA from 1 species